AGGUGAAGCCUGGAGGGAACUUCUGGUGGAUUGUGUGGGAGUGAGAAUGCAGGCAUGAGUAACGAAUCUGCGGUGAGAAUCCGCAGCGCCGAUUGACUAAGGGUUCCAGGGCUAGGUUUAUCCGCCCUGGGUUAGUCGGGUCCUAAGGCGAGGCCGACAGGCGUAGUCGAUGGACAACCAGUUGAUAUUCUGGUACCGCGUUAUGACCGCCCAUGCUGAAGUCAUUGUGCUAACCAAUUUGCUCACGCCCCCACAUGACCUUCGGGUCGCGUGGUGUGUGUGGGUCUUGGGGCCCCGGUGAUUGUAGGCAAGCGUGUUAACAGGGGUGACGCAGACAGGUAGCUGCAGUGCGCCGAUGGUUGUGCGUAUUUAAGGUUGUGGCCCGCCCUUCAGGUAAAUCCGGGGGGCAUAGUGGGUGAGGACUGAUGAGGGACACACGCGUGUGUGGACUUGUGGUGAUCCUAUGCUGCCGAGAAAAGCCUCGACGUGAGGGCAUGACGCGCCCGUACCCUAAACCGACUCAGGUGGUCAGGUAGAGUAUACCGAGGCGUUCGAGUGAAUCGUGGUUAAGGAACUCGGCAAAAUUCCUCCGUAACUUCGGGAUAAGGAGGACCCCGUGACUUCCCCGCGCCGCGCGCGCUGGUGGGGUUGUGGGGUCGCAGAGAAUAGGGAGAAGCGACUGUUUAUCAAAAACACAGGUGCGUGCGAAGCCGUAAGGCGAUGUAUACGCACUGACGCCUGCCCGGUGCUGGAAGGUUAAGAGGAACCGUUAACAUUCUUUGUGGGUGUGAAGCGGUGAAUUUAAGCCCCAGUAAACGGCGGUGGUAACUAUAACCAUCCUAAGGUAGCGAAAUUCCUUGUCGGGUAAGUUCCGACCUGCACGAAUGGCGUAACGACUUCCCCACUGUCUCGACCAGGAGCUCGGUGAAAUUGCAGUACGAGUAAAGAUGCUCGUUUCGCGCAGAAGGACGGAAAGACCCCGGGACCUUUACUAUAGCUUGGUAUUGGUGUUCGCUUGGACUUGUGUAGGAUAGGUGGGAGACUGUGAAGCUGCCGCGCCAGCGGUGGUGGAGUCGUCGUUGAAAUACCAUUCUGGUUCAAGCGGUCACCUCAACCUUGGCCCGUGAUCCGGGUUGGGGACAGUGCCUGGUGGGUAGUUUAACUGGGGCGGUUGCCUCCUAAAAUGUAACGGAGGCGCUCAAAGGUUCCCUCAGCCUGGUUGGUAAUCAGGUGGCGAGUGCAAGUGUACAAGGGAGCUUGACUGUGAGACCGACGGGUCGAGCAGGUGCGAAAGCAGGAACUAGUGAUCCGGCCAUGGCACGUGGGUGCGUGGUCGCUCAACGGAUAAAAGGUACCCCGGGGAUAACAGGCUGAUCUUGCCCAAGAGUCCACAUCGACGGCAAGGUUUGGC
rnacentral:rRNA from 1 species